rnacentral:snoRNA from 1 species
CCCCUCUCAGGGUCACACCUUGAGAGUUUCCAGUACUCUACCAGUCUCGACUACGGGAGGGAGAAUCAAGCAGAGACUUGUCCAUUCCAUUCCUAGCUUGGGCAGUGGUUAGCAAGUGGAAGGCAAUCUGCCACAAGU